UGGGGAAUAUUGGACAAUGGGCGCAAGCCUGAUCCAGCAAUGCCGCGUGUGUGAAGAAGGCCUGCGGGUUGUAAAGCACUUUCAGUGGGGAGGAGAGACUCUGUAUUAAUACUAUAGAGAGGAGACGUUACCCACAGAAGAAGCACCGGCUAACUCUGUGCCAGCAGCCGCGGUAAUACAGAGGGUGCAAGCGUUAAUCGGAAUUACUGGGCGUAAAGGGUGCGUAGGUGGUUUGAUAAGUUAGGUGUGAAAGUCCUGGGCUUAACCUGGGGACUGCGCCUAAUACUGUUAGACUAGAGUACUGUAGAGGAAGGUGGAAUUUCCAGUGUAGCGGUGAAAUGCGUAGAUAUUGGAAGGAACACCAGUGGCGAAGGCGACCUUCUGGACAGAUACUGACACUGAGGCACGAAAGCGUGGGGAGCAAACAGG
rnacentral:rRNA from 1 species